GUUUGCUAUCCUUGUCUGCUGUGGAUAUCUCGAUGAAAGCUAUCAACCCCCAAAAACCAUUUUACUCAGAUACACAACAAACCUCUAAUAACUUUUCAAUCCAAGAUCAACGCAGGAAGCGCUUACAAAGGAUUUGCAAGUUUUGGGUAAAGGAUAGAUGUGCUUAUGGGGAUAACUGUAGGUUUCUUCAUUCUUGGUUCCAAUCUGGUAAUGGGUUUUCGAUGCUGCCAAGGCUUGAAGGGCACAAGAGAUCUGUGGUCGGUGUUGCCUUUCCUUCAGGGCCUGACAAGCUUAUACUGGCAGUAGAGGUGGAACUGUCAGGAUUUGGGAUUACUACUCUGGAAAGUGUGACCAUGUCAUCAAUCUUGGUUUUGAAAUUGGGUCUUUAAACUGUAAAGGCUCGUGGGUAUUCAUUGGAUUGCCAAAUUUAGUUCGGGUCUGGAAUUUAAGCUCAGAGGGUAACAAAGAGUUCUCUUUGGAUGGUCCAAUUGGUCAAGUCUAUGCCUUGGCAGUGUACAAGGAUUUGCUUUUUGCCGGGACCGCUAAUGGUGAUAUUUUGGUGUGGAGAGGGAGCUUUGAAGCUAACCCAUUUGCAAGGGUGGCAACUUUGAGAGGCACAAAAAGGCAGCUGUCUGUUUAAAUGUUGGUUCUGGUGUUAAUUCUUUGUAUUCAGGCUCUAUGGACAAUACAGUGAAGGUUUGGGAUUUGGAGACCGCAGUGCAAGCAAACUCUAAAUGGUCACAGGGAUGUGGUGAUGUCACUUCUGAGUUGGGAUCAGUGCUUACUGACAUGCUCGUUAGACCAUACAGUGAAGUUCUGGGUUGCCAGGAAAGGAGGCAAAUUGGAACUAGCGGAAACACAUGAAGAGAAGUCUGGGAUUCUGAAAGUUUUUGGUAUGCAGGAUGCAAAAGGGAAGCCUAUUGUGUUUUGUUCCUGCAAUGAUAACUGUGUUCGUCUGUUUGAAUUGAAUUCAUUCACUGAGAUGGAUAGGAUUUUUGCAGAACAGGAGGUUAGAGAAAUUCAGAGGGGUCCUAAUGGCCUAUUUUUCACAGGUGAUGCAGCUGGAGUGGUUACCGUUUGGAUGUGGCACGCAUAAACAAGUAAAUAGCUAGAUGAACAAAAACAAAAAGAUUAUGUAUAAAACAAUUGCCUUUGAGGGUGAAACUGAAAUGUAAAUGCGAUAUAUAUUCUAAUCAAUUUAUUUUGAGUGAUCAUGAUCUUUUGUAAUUAUGCGUCGAAUUCAAUAUUUGAGUCAUUCAUACAUUGGAAUUUCAAGGGCUACUGAUGCUUGUGGC
rnacentral:misc_RNA from 1 species